rnacentral:snoRNA from 1 species
CACCCCUGACACUGGGUAGAGAGGCACCUCUUUGGUGGUGGUCUUCUCAUAUCAGUCAGGGGCACAAUAAGCAGUCCAAGUUCAUCCCAGCUUGAUGCUUUGCUCGGUAGCCAUAGCUGGUUCAUGCCCUGGACACAUAA